rnacentral:pre_miRNA from 1 species
ACCGUUUUUUAGCUGAAGGUAAAGCUGGCUACAUAACGUUUGCGCUUAGACAGAAGACGUUAUGUUGUCCCUACCUACAGCUAGCUGCUCGCAUUUCGACAGAU